rnacentral:rRNA from 1 species
GAUCAUGGCUCAGAACGUACGCUGGCGGCACGCCUUAUACAUGCAAGUCGAACGAAGUAGCAAUACUUAGUGGCAGACGGGUGAGUAACAUGUGGGUAUCUUCCCUUUGGUGAGGAAUAACACGAGGAAACUUGUGCUAAUACCUCAUAAGUCUUUACGGAGAAAGCUUUAUGCGCCAAUGGAUGAGCCCGCACUUGAUUAGUUUGUUGGUGGGGUAAUGGCCUACCAAGACUGUGAUCAAUAGCUGAUUUGAGAGGAUGAUCAGCCACAUUGGGACUGAGACACGGCCCAAACUCCUACGGGAGGCAGCAGUAAGGAAUCUUGCACAAUGGAGGAAACUCUGAUGCAGCGAUGCCGCGUGAGUGAAGAAGGCCUUUGGGUUGUAAAGCUCUUUCGUCGGGGAAGAAAAUGACUGUACCCGAAUAAGAAGGUCCGGCUAACUUCGUGCCAGCAGCCGCGGUAAUACGAAGGGACCUAGCGUAGUUCGGAAUUACUGGGCUUAAAGAGUUCGUAGGUGGUUAAAAAAGUUGGUAGUGAAAUCCCAGAGCUUAACUCUGGAACUGCUAUCAAAACUUUUUAGCUAGAGUAUGAUAGAGGAAAGCAGAAUUUCUAGUGUAGAGGUGAAAUUCGUAGAUAUUAGAAAGAAUACCAAUUGCGAAGGCAGCUUUCUGGAUCAUUACUGACGCUGAGGAACGAAAGCAUGGGUAGCGAAGAGGAUUAGAUACCCUCGUAGUCCAUGCUGUAAACGAUGUGUGUUAGACGUUGGAAAUUUAUUUUCAGUGUCGCAGCGAAAGCGAUAAACACACCGCCUGGGGAGUACGACCGCAAGGUUAAAACUCAAAUGAAUUGACGGGGACCCGCACAAGUAGUGGAGCAUGUGGUUUAAUUCGAAGAUACGCGCAGAACCUUACCAACACUUGACAUGUUCGUCGCGACUUUAAGAGAUUAAAGUUUUCGGUUCGGCCGGACGAAACACAGGUGCUGCAUGGCUGUCGUCAGCUCGUGUCGUGAGAUGUUGGGUUAAGUCCCGCAACGAGCGCAACCCUCACUUUUAGUUGCCAUCAUUAAGUUGGGCACUCUGAAAGAACUGCCAGUGAUAAGCUGGAGGAAGGUGGGGAUGACGUCAAGUCCUCAUGGCCCUUACGUGUUGGGCUACACACGUGCUACAAUGGCAUUUACAAUAGGAAGCAAGAUGGCGACAUCAAGCAAAUCCUAAAAAGAUGCCUCAGUUCGGAUUGCACUCUGCAACUCGAGUGCAUGAAGCUGGAAUUACUAGUAAUCGCG